rnacentral:rRNA from 1 species
AUUGAACGCUGGCGGCAUGCCUUACACAUGCAAGUCGAACGGUAACAGGUCUUCGGAUGCUGACGAGUGGCGAACGGGUGAGUAAUACAUCGGAACGUGCCCGAUCGUGGGGGAUAACGAAGCGAAAGCUUUGCUAAUACCGCAUACGAUCUACGGAUGAAAGCAGGGGACCGCAAGGCCUUGCGCGAACGGAGCGGCCGAUGGCAGAUUAGGUAGUUGGUGGGAUAAAAGCUUACCAAGCCGACGAUCUGUAGCUGGUCUGAGAGGACGACCAGCCACACUGGGACUGAGACACGGCCCAGACUCCUACGGGAGGCAGCAGUGGGGAAUUUUGGACAAUGGGCGAAAGCCUGAUCCAGCCAUGCCGCGUGCAGGAUGAAGGCCUUCGGGUUGUAAACUGCUUUUGUACGGAACGAAAAGACUCUGGUUAAUACCUGGGGUCCAUGACGGUACCGUAAGAAUAAGCACCGGUUAACUACGUG